CACUAAGAAGCUUAAUAAGGUACAAGCGCUAGCCUUUUAAGCUAGAGACUGGUGACCCCUACCCACCCUUAGUGA
rnacentral:tRNA from 1 species